GAUGAACGCUAGCGGGAGGCCUAACACAUGCAAGCCGAGCGGGAUUUCAGAUGUAGCUUGCUACAUUUGAAUGAGAGCGGCGCACGGGUGCGGAACACGCGUGCAACCUGCCUUUAUCUGGGGGAUAGCCUUUCGAAAGGAAGAUUAAUACCCCAUAAAUAUAUUUGAUGGCAUCAUUAAAUAUUGAAAACUCAGGUGGAUAAAGAUGGGCACGCGCAAGAUUAGAUAGUUGGUAGGGUAACGGCCUACCAAGUCUACGAUCUUUAGGGGGCCUGAGAGGGUGAUCCCCCACACUGGUACUGAGACACGGACCAGACUCCUACGGGAGGCAGCAGUGAGGAAUAUUGGACAAUGGGUGCAAGCCUGAUCAGCCAUCCCGCGUGAAGGAAUAAGGACCUAU
rnacentral:rRNA from 1 species